AAUAAGUUUAAUUAAGCAAUCAGUGAAUAUUUAUUGUUAGAACAAUUAGCGUAUGAUUUUCAGAAAAAGCACAAAUUGAGCCGACCAGCGGGCCAGGUGCAAACAAGUAUUUCUGUUGUGCGGUGAAUCCAAAAAGCAGCACAUUAUCUUUCUGAAUAAAUCUGAGCAUGGAGGAAGAUCUAAAAAUAGUGCCUAGCAAGGACAAUAGAUCAGUUAAAGCUCAGUGGUGGAGGCUCGGCACCACGCACAGAGCGUACGGAAAGAUGAGUCACCGGGUUUAGCUGGACUGAUCACCAAUAUUCGAAUGUAAGAUAGUAACAAACCAGGUUACUGCUUAACAGGCAAGAGAUUUCUUCGUGCAGGAAGCAAGGUGGACCUGAACCAGGCUCUUGCCAUUUCUGCGUACAGCGAGCUCCGUGUAAGACAAGUUUAAGGAGGCUGUCUUGCAAUGAGUCGUUUUUCCACGAGGUGGCACAAGAAAUCAAUCAUUCUCGUAUCAGCAGGGUUGUUUUCUGUAUUUUGAUUCUGACAGACAGGUAUGCCCUAAUAGCCUACUAAGCAAUUACAAUAUCAUGUUCCCAGCUGAGAGUUUGGCAUUUGUUAUUGUACAUUAAUAACCGAGAGAUAAGCGUGUGGCAAGGGGGGCACUUCUUCCUAUUUGUUGACUAGGGGACACAGAGCAGUAUUACCGUCACUGAAUUAUUUUUUAACUAAUGUACAUAAAUAUUCAUGGAACACACAUGAAUUAAAUUACAAAGGCAUCUGUUACACCAUGAGGGACUUGGUGCUACAAUGGGCACUUAAUGCUCAAUUGGAAAACAACAGCUAUAAAGAACCCUCUCAACCCAAUCCCUCUUCAUGUGGAUAAGAUACUAAAAUUUAUAAUAAAUCCCUGCUGGAGUCCACUGAAAUAUUAAGCGUAAUGAGCUUGUGGGAAAAAAAAAAAAAGGCGGAUAGGCCGUGGCAGUUUUCAUCUGAAUUUUUUGCAAGGUGUAGUGAAGGAUACCUUCAUAACCGGAUACCGGGAAAAGCAACAGUCUGCUUGUGAGUGAGUUUUGCGGCCAUCAGUUUGAGGUGGGCUGGCGUUCACCUCUGAAUUUUCCACGUUGUGGGGGGAUUUUCUUCUUUCACAGAAAACCCCCAAGCACACACAUCCUUGUUAUAAUUGCUCCUCCUAUUUAAAAUGGCCUCACUUGCAGCAGAGGAAAUCGACCUCUCUUUCGCCCGAUGCCUAGAGAUGGGAUUCGGUAUCAAGCUGUUUCCUUCUUUUCCAGGUCUGCUAGUAUCGCCGGUCUGACUGCAGAGGCCGAAUAGGACAUAAGCCCUUAAGAUGUUUCUCGUGGUUUGAGUGUGGUGCGGAGUUCUCGCGCUUUACUGGGGCUUGUUUCGCCCUCAGCCAGGGGAACUGCAGCAGGAGCGGGCAAUGGCAAGAGAGAGGUUUUUACCAGCUCGCUUCUCAGCGCUAAGUUUAGCGCAAGCCCUACCAUAUAGGUGGGGUGGGUGGCAGGGAUAAGAGUUUUUUCAGAAAGGGCAUAUUCCCAUUUUAAAAACGUUUGCAUACUGAGCCGCUUAAGUGUCACUGACACCGUUGAUACUACCCAGCCCGAUAUAGGUUAAUACAGAAAUAGGUCAGCUCAUAGCAAAAGUGCUUCUGUCUGUCUAGGAAUUAAUUUUGUCAUGACUGAAUACUUGAACACUGUGAUCCCGUGUUGUGAAGUGAGGAGCACGAUAUAAAGGCUUGGGGUCCUGAAGUGCCAAAAUUCAUUUAUUGUCCUUUUUUUUGACAGGAGAAAAUUUAGGUUAUGUACAACUGUUCUAGUGAGACACAUUACCACAUGCAUUAUUACUAACAUACUUAAUUACAUUAGUUUUAGGUACAUUGCCCAUGUAAAGAGGAUUACUGAGAAAUUAAAUGCAGGACAUGCCUGAACCGAAGCAAAUGCAAUGAAGUGUUCCAGUUUCUUGAAAUCUCUAGAUCUUUUGGAUUCCUGAAUUAUAGUGCAAUAAUUACAGAGUCAUUAGAGAGGUUUUGCUUUAUUACAAAACCUGCAAUUCUUGGAAUUCUUUUAGCAUAGUCUUUUUGUUAUGAUAAGUAUUCAAUAAAGUAAAUUUCAGCCCUGGACAGAAAGCCAAGACAAAAUCAUCUUACCACAAGAAUCUCACUCUAUGCUUCAUUUUGCUUUAAAUGAUAGACAGAGUGACCCUCAUUCUGGGUACAGCAUUAUAAUCAUGGGGUACUAUGGACUUGGGCACCUUAUCCCUACCUCCUGGGAUCUCAAAGACCUUUGCAAAUAAUCCCUGGGAUCAAAAACUGAAGUGAUGGAGAUGGGCUAAUUCAUCUUAAUACACUUGAAAGAAACACGCCUCGCUGUGUGCCUUUCCAUAAUAUUAGUUAUGUCCUCUUAUGGAAGUGGUGACUUGAAAAAUUUUGGUUUGAGCCUGAGUAGCCUUAAGCUAUGGAGGAGCAACCUUUAAUGCAGAAAGUCAUCGUUAAACCAGUUUAGCAUACAGAAUGGUGCCUGGUUGUAUAUUUGAGCAUGAAUACAACUUCCAUUUCUAAAUCCAAUUUGUAACCUUUUUAAUCAGGAUUUUUUUUUUUUAUCUCCUUUAAUAGAUAAUAGACCAUAGCAACUGCUGCAGUUUUUUAGCACUUCAGAGCUUCUAGAGAUCCAGAUAAAAUAGCUUUAGCGAACCAUCAUUCUCCUCAGAAUGAAUCAAGUGGGUUUAAAAUAGGGAUUACCUGCGUGGCUUAGUACAGCUGAGUCCCACCCCAAAUCUCAAUCUUUCCCGGAAUUAGUUUUCAUUAGGCUACCUCAGCUCACUUAGAUUUUCUUGCCCCUCAGGCUCUCGGCUCUUACUCAGGUACGUCUCUACUACCCAGCCCCUCCCGAUGACGUUUAUCCUACCAAGAGCUGGCUUCCUCCGCCUAUGGGCUCCUGGAUCUCUUCUUUUAAAGACUUCAGGAUUAUUUUGCUUUUUUCCUGUUUGUUUAUUUUAAUAGGCAGUCACUGCGAUGGCCAAGCUUCAGUGCAUUCAUGCACUCUGGCAAUAAAUGGUUUGCAAAAUGGUGUGGUUAAGGCUGGAGAUGUGAGACACUUUAAUGACUGGCACAGGUUUGUGGAAGGAUUUUUCCACAUCUUGAAAAUCCUUUACAUGAGCCUGACUAAAUUUUGUUUGAAACCUUACUUCCCCACAGAUUUUGCUGUGAAUUUGAAAAUGCCAAGAUCCCAAACCAAGCACUUUGUUUGUUAUGACUGAGUUGUGCUCACUAAAGAGGGAAAGAAAUGAUAUGGAGGCAUGAAUUUAGGGGAAAUGAUGCAAAAUGAAAGCAGCAGGUUCUGCAUAGUCAGGGCAGGAGCUGCAACUCUCAGGCAGAAAGCAAGAAAGGGGAACUCGGAGUGAGAAUAAGCCCGCUUGGGUUGCGAGUUACAUUUUUGGAGAAUAACAAUAUCCUUCAAUAAAGUAGCCCAGUACAGUGGCUGUUUUAUUGUGCGAACCCAUGUUCAUGUCUUUUCUUCUGUAUUUGGACGGCGUAAUCAAAUACCCCUUCUCUGCGUAUUCCCGAGAUAAGGAGGUUUUCUAGGAGCUGCUUUCAGGGCACAAUAAAGAGAGAGGGUACUUCACGAGCCUCCAAACAUUUGAAGGCUUUAACCGAGCUUGAACCAGACUGUCUGGAACAUGUCCAUCACCAGUUAAAGCUGUAAUGAAAGAGAUUUGAAAAGAUAUGGCUGCUUUCUUUGUGUUUUCAGAUGAAAAUACUCCUUGGCUUUCCUUUGUGCAGGAGUGUUUGGCCAGAACUCUUAGGGGAAAACUGAGAAGCCAAACCACAUGCUAGUUUACUGAGAUACUACUAGGUGAAUGAAUAAAUAAUGGGUAGAUAAAUAAUUGAAUCUCAGAUUUUUUUUUUGAUGUUGUAAACAAAGAUUGAAAGUAGUCAUUGGGGAAAUCUUACUCUUCUUAUCUAGUACUCAGGAUUCAUUCCAUUAGAAGUAUUUUCUUCUGAAGUGACUAUAUGAAUAAGCACAUAUUAGCUGUAUUAAUUCCGUCUGUAUUUCACACCUGUAGAUCAUGUGAGCUGGGUGUUGUUUUGGCAAGUACAGUAUAUCCUCGGCUCAAGGCAGUUCUAAACAUUAACCUGUCAGCCAGUCUUUCUAUCUGCCCUUAUUAAGGGCUUAUAAAAAAUAAAUAAGAAUAUAAUUCUACUGUGUUCCAAUACCAAUUAAUGCAAAAUUUUGCAUAUUAUAUUCUGAGGUCUGAGUACAGUAGUGGCAGAGAGGAACUAUUGGGUUGCAAAGCCUACAUUGCUGUGAGUUUCUUCGAUGAGUAGGUGGGUCCACAGGCCUUUCCUCCCUCUGCAUCACAACAAAGCCGAAUUUCCUUGUGCUCUUUCUACUUUCCGCUCGAAAGGAGGGAGCUGCUGAGACCUGUCCUUCUGGGGACCAGGUUCCUGCUCUGCCUGGCUGAGAAGCAGAACUUGGCUUCCAGCUCCAGCAGCUCAGUCGAGAGCUCCAGCCUUCACCUCUCUUCUGAGCUGAAUUUUUCUGUCUGCUGCGGUACCCGUGCAUAGUUAAAUAUUCAUAUGCUCUUUGCAUUAAAAUGUAUUUGAGAUCUGUUAGGCAAGUCACUUAACAUUUCUCUUCCAGUUAUAUCCAUUGGUAAAAUGAAGAUUAGAUCUUUGGGAACAGCUUGAGUUUGAGCGUUGGCCCGUCCUGCAAGAAGGGAUCCCUAAUAGUGGUGGUAGCCCAUUCCGGGCUGCCCUGAUUUCUGCCAAGGUGACUCUGUCUGACACCCUCUGACUUUAAUCUCCAUGUCACAGCACAAGAUGAAGGUAAACCUGUAGCCCGAGGCAUUGCGUGGGAGGAGGUUUUACAGUCACGUUAGCAUGUAAUCUCGGGCACCCAUGCCCUAGUGUUGGUGGUAUGAGCGCUCUCGAGCCGUGCCAUAGCUCUCCUGCCGCUCCCCAACCCUGCGAAGUCCCUGUCACCGCACGGGAACUCAAUGCCGGGGAGGAUGGGGACCGAAGUUAAGGCUGGUCCCUCCUAGGCCCUCUCGUAUUUAGGUAUGGUCUUCCCUUUGCAAGACGCUGUGUACUUCCAUUUACAGCUUGCAGUUCCCCUUUACAGGAAAGGGUCCGAGCAGAGCGCUUUUGAAGGCAGAGGGAUGAACUCAUACUUAAGAUCUGCGGCAUCGCUAGGUAUUGUAAUUCCCUGCCCCUGUAACUGAUGGCAAGUCUUCUAAUGAUGGCAGAGGAAACAAUCUCUUGAGUUUCCGGAAGGUUGACCGUGGGCGCUGUGCUGCAGGAGCUGGGACUUCUAUUUCUUAAAUGGCAGUGUGGAAGUAAGAGUGAAAAUAUUUUUCAAAGCAGUAAAAUAUAAACUAAACUCAGUGGGAAAGGGAAAUGUGUGCUAAUAUACAGUGCAUAUAUAUGUGUGUGUGUGUGCACAUGCGUGUGCAUGAGUAUAUAUCUAUAUGUACUUCUGUAGUGUGUGUGUUUCAGGCAGCAAAUCACACACCCAGAAAUGUUGGCUCCUCUUUAGGCAUAACAUGUUGAAACAGGGUAUUUCUCUCCCUAACUAGAAAGAAAACAAAAUUCCACUUUGGACUGGACUGGACUCCUUUUCUCUGUUCCCGGACAUUGUUGUCUUUUCUCUGUAGUAUUUGCUAUUCUCGUUUCCUUCAAGUAUGCCUUGUCUCUUCACAAAGCAAUUUGGGACAACUUGGAUGAAAGCCACCAGAUAGAAAUACACUUUUAAGGGAAAGAAAAAAAAACAUUAAAAGGGUUGUAGACAGUUUCAUCCUCUUAGAACAAAGUGCUUAUAACAGUGUGUUUGGAAAACCUAUUGAGCCUAUGGCACUUACUUCCAGGAAAGAAAGACAAUGUCUUUUGUGCUGCUCACAUUUAUCUGCCAAGACUCUUUUAUGAGAGAUCACAGGAGACCUUUCUUUCAAGGCUGUAGAUUAUACAAACAGACUAUUUUGUAUAAUCUUAAAGGUGAACUAAGCGGGAGCUCAAAGUGCUGAAAAUCAGGCCAAUUUUGCUCAGAUGCUUCACUUGCGGGUCCUCAAACAAUUGCAGAUUUGGCUCGACUCUUUAAAAUCUCUUGCGAGGGCUGCUCCAGAUCAGCAUCUGUCUUCUGAUAUUUUUUUCCAGACUUUUUUUCAGCUGCAAACCUCAGGAUAUUUAGCCACUCUUUCGGUGCUGCAUGGGAGCAGCAGCACCGCGGGCGUCACGGGCCGCUGCUGGGUUCAUGGCUGUCUCGUAAGCAAGCGAGCCUGUGUGUGCAGCAGAUAUAAUGAGAAGAGGUGAGUUGGAGCAACUGCGCAAAGCAUUCCUGCCGGCUCGCGCUCGUCUCCCUUAGUAUGCAGGUCAUGUGCAAUGCAUGGUGCAGAGUCACUGAUGUAAUUGCCAAGUUUCCAGCAUCAUGUUAUGAUUCAUCUCUAAAGAGUCAGUUAUCGGAAACCGAGCAAAUAACAGCCCUAUUUGAGAUCAGUUAAGACACAAGGAGAUCCAACAUCAUUUUGUUGCGUCUACAGAAGAACAAAUCUGCAUGGUCUUGGGAUCGCUGAAAAUUAGUAUCUUCCUUGUCAGAAAGAAAAGGAUAAUCUCACAAGACUUUUUAAGAUGGAUGUUGGCGUGCACUGAACUUUGAAAAUCUGCCCCCUUGGUAGCUAUGACAACUAGUGAUGGAUUCUGGGGUAUCACAAGCAAAUAUGAAAGGAAGAGACAACAAGGAUCCCGGAGAAGGGGCUCACUUGGCCUUCAGAUCCUCCCCGGGGCGAACGGCUUGAUUUUUACUGUUCAAAGGCUUUUACUGGUGCCGCCAAACGCCCUCUCAUCUGCUUCUGCUCUCCGCGCCACCUUCUGCCACAGGUUCGAAUAUUUCCGAGCUAAAGCGGGCGAGGACGUUGAACAAGGCCGGGGUGGUCGAGCCCUUGGAAAUAUUUCCUUGGAGAAAGUACGAGCUGCGCAGAUGCCCGAAAUAAACAUUUUGCCUGCUGACUGCGCGGGAAUGCUUCGAGUGCUUUCUGAACUGGCAGGCCGAAGUGAAACAAAUACAAAUAAUCUUAUUCGGGAGGCAAAGCUGUGUAUCGCGGAGGAAAAAGCAGUGACCGUCUUACAGGAGCAAUGGCUUUUUAAAAUCAACCUCUGUUCGGCGUUUGACCCCUCUUUUUACUUUUCCUGUGCCUUUCUUAGGUCUUCAGCUUUCUUAAAAAAACAAAACAAACCACCCAAAUCUUAAAAAAAAAAAAAGAAAGAAAAAGAAAAAAGAGAAGGCAAAAGACCAAAAUAUUACUGCUUGUGCCAUUAGGAACAAAUGAGUUUUUGUAACAUGUAUCAAAUCCUAAGAUUUUGCUGGCGUGGUCGGUAUCUUCUUUGCAGCCAGCUGUAACUCCAGUUUGGAGUACUCAAACACGGUGCAGGUUUACUGCCUUUGCUUUGCUCUCUGUGAGUCAGGCAGCCCGUGUUUUAAUACUUGCUCAAAGGUUUGGGCAGCACUGACAUUAUUGUGCUGUUUUUGUGUGCAUGGCCCUUCUAGAGGCAGGACAAGUUGCUUCUGGGCGUACUGCACAUUUUUCUGCUGUUUAGUGCAAACUCAUUCCCUAUGGCCACACAGAAAGCCAUUUGCUACUGUCUCACCAAAAUGCUGGGGGAAGUUUGUAUGGUCCUCAUCUUUUUCUGCUAUAGAAGAAAGCCAUGAAGUGCCAUCUAUGUGUCCAGAUUUUAAACACACACGAUAGCUGUCCAGAAUUAGUAAAAUUAGGCUUAUCACUCACAUUUUGGUGCUAAAGGCAUUUCUUAUUAUGGCGUAUACUUAUGAGUCUUGUUAUAACACUAAUGUGGGAAGUGGUAAUUUCACUUUUUAUCCAAUAUUACAUCAUUUUAAACAUUCAAUUAACGUCCAUACAUUCUGGUGGAGCCUACCAGAUAUGCACGCAGCUACCUUUCAGUCCACACUCCCUCCAGUAGCCAGCAACACAUCUUUGUAAAUUAUCUUGAAAGAUAUUGUGGUACCGCUGAAUUAGUCACUUCUAAUGAUUUCUUUUUUCUUUCACUAUUAGAAAAAAAUCUAGAGAUGUUGCGGUACCGCUGAAUUAGUCACUUUUAAUGAUUUUUUUUUCUUUCACUAUGAGAAAAAAAGCUAGAAGAGAAAGCCACCAGCUCUCAAUUUAGGGACCAAAGCCCAAUGGGAAUUUCCUUAUCAAAAGCCUUUUCCCCCACUUACUCAUAUAAUUAACUUCUGCCUUCUCUAUCGGGCUUAUUAAGUUCACUGCUGCGUUUUGAAAUGAUGCCCUUGGAGCCGUCACAGACUUCAUUAUCACCCUUCUGCCGCUGCACGUGGCCUGUGAAUUGUACCCUUUUGGCGAGGCUUGCAGCAACAACUUUUUCAAAUUACAUUUAAACAAAUACCCAACAUACAGCAAAAGUCAUUUGUAACACCUCCAAGUCCACUGACUUUCCUCCCUCUGAUUAAUUCUCUUGUACUUUGGAGGCCUGCUUUUUUCCUAUUUACAGGAAAAAAGAAGGCUUUGUAUGACUGGGGACCUGGGAGUUGUUAGAGAGGCUGUCGGGCCCUGUGGUUGACGUAGGAAAGAGGUGGGAUCAGAAACCUU